UGUUAAAAUCCCCAAGAACAAUGAUGAGAGAUUCUGGAUGUUUUUUCUCCACGUCUGUUAUCAGCUCAGCCAGUUGUUUUUCAAUAUCUGAAGUGGAGCCUUGAGGUGGUAUGGAAGCGCCAACCAGUACAGACAAGGGGAACUCCCUCUGUGAACGGUUUACAGUUUAUGAGAAAUGACUGCAGGUCAGAACUACAUGUCUUCUUCAACACUUUGAUAUCUCUGCACCAACCGUCAUUUAUAUAAAAGCAGAUUCUGCCUCCUUGCUUUUUCCCCAAUAAGUCCACAUUGCGGUCUGCUCUGAACUGUUCUUCUGGCUAGGAUCUCAGUGAAGCUUUUGUCAAUGAAUGAUGGUGAAAAAAUGCCAAAAGAGACCUAUCUGAUGUUUAGAAGUUCCUCUUUGCUGAAAGAGACCACCGAAUGGUGGCAAAAAGCACCACAAAUCACAAAAAGCUCUGAGGCUGCAAUCAGCGGCGCCAUCUUGGAUCAAAUUUAUUUGCCCUUAUUUGGUCAUCGAAGCCACGAUUACAAUCAACACCCAUAAAAUUAAACUGGCUUCACCUGGUUGACUCCAACUAAGACAGAAUAAAUGCAAAUUAAGCCUUCUUGGUUUGUUAUUGUUAAUUAAUCUGUCUUUAGUAUUUUAGUUGUUGAGCUACAUCUGAUAAAGCUAAUCCAGAUGUCCUAAAAGAAGCAAAAUGGUCAAUUUAUUGAAGGACACCAUCUUCAUCCUCAUUUAAAAUAUGAAAUUUAAAUGAAACUGUCAUGCUGAGCACGUGUGCAUUUCCUCUCUCUCACCUCUUCCCGCAGGGUAGGACAGGCAGGUGCAAUCACACAGUUGAGGAUCAUCUGGGCUAAUCAAGGAAUCGUGUCUUUUGCGUGAGUUUUUGUGCUCCUCUCUCCCAGAGUGGAUUACACUGGAGACCCAGACCUGCCUUUUCCCCAGCUUAGAAUCCAAGUUCGUGUUUAGAAUGGAAGUACUUUACUGUGCUUACAUGACAAAGACCCUCCUUCAGCAUCCUGGAACCUGCGUGCCAAGGAAAUUACUUAAUACUUCUCCUGUGAACCAGCCUGGUUACCUCCUGCUUGUCCACCCUCCAACUCCGAACCCCGUCACCUGGACAAAGACAGAAGAGAACCUCCUGUCAAUCUCAGCCUCCGUGGCAUGACUCACCUCUCCCCAUGGAAACAGCAUCUCCACUUAAAAGGAAGAAGAAUCAUCCUUCCGUUCAUAAUUGUACAUCUCCUGCCAGCUACAGUAACUUCACUCCCUCCUUUAGUGAACCGACCAUCAGAAACUGGACCCCUUGACGAGCCUGCUCUUUUCUCCUGUUUUUCAAUAAACCUGUUAAACCUGGACUCUGCCUUCGUAAUUGUUGCCAGCUCUAGAGGGACUUGGUUAUCCACCAUGACAGAAACAUUUAGUAUAGCUGAGCAAUGUUUGUAAAUCUUGGAUUAAAAGAAUGCCACGAGCACCAAUGGUGUUCUGCCAGCAAUGGCAAUCUUGGCAGGCAGACAGGACGAUUUACACAAUUUUUUUUUUUUUCUUGCAGUGCUGAAACGGAGAGAAGUUGCCGAGACUGUGACCAUUGUGGAGACUCCACCCAUUGUUGGGGUCAGAGUUGUGGGCUGGAUCAGCAUUCCCCUGUGGCCUCAGUUGCUUCAAGACCAUCUUCGCUGAGCACAUCAGUGACAAGUGCAGGCGUCGCUUCUACAAGAACUGGAACAAAUCCAAGAAGGCCUUCACCAAAUAAUGCAUAAAUGGUAGGAUGAGGACGGCAAGCAGCUGGAGGAAGACUUUGCUGCCAUGAAGAAAUACUGCCAGGUCUCCUGAGUGUCUCUUAGGCUUCAAAUCAGCCACCGUGCCCUGGAGAACAUCAUCAAAUUCAUCAACACAUUGUCCAAGAUCCUAAGACUGAUUUAACUAACAGUUAAACAUGUUUGCAAAGGUCUGACUGACUGCAGUGUUAGUUUAAGGUUCACAUCUCAGAAAAAGCUUGUGUUUAGAAAACUUUGUGAAGUUUAGACAAAAAAAUUUAAUUAACCGAAUGGGACACCCCAAAGUAUUCAGGGAUUUAAUUUCUUUUAAAAGAGGUUUUAAUACUGGGUGGAAAAUUGGUUUCUGGUAUUAAAAUUGUGCAUCCAUAACUGAUCUGUUUUCUUAGUUGUUCAGUGGAUGUCAUGAACACUAGAUUUUAUUCCAGUACCAGUAGGACUUUUUCUGAGGUAGCGGAGCAGUGCCUCUUUGUGCUGGUCUUCUUUCUGUUCACCCUUUGGGAAAGUGUAAAGGAAACAUUUACGCUAAAAGCUAAAGGGGCAGUUUGGAUCAGUACCCUGUACCUCAGGGCCCACUGUCCUACAUGCUUUAUGUGCUUCCCUGCAGCUGCACACCUUAAAUGACCCCAAAGCACUUAAAUAAAUGGCUGGUAAACAGGUUUUUGCAGCACUUAAUGGUUCAACGUGGUAAGGCCACCAUUUAAAUCAGUUGUGCUGCAGGGACACAUCAUGAAACCUGUAGGACAGUGGCCCCUGUAGAACCGGCUUGGGGACUACUACUAUAAAGGCCUUCCUCAGCAAACUGCUCUGUUUGACUGGCGUGCACUCUGUGUAAUUAUUGUCCUUCUGAUGCGAAAAGAUUGGAUUUUUUUUGGCUCACAAAUUUUUCCAAAAUUCAAUAACUGUCACUUUCGCUGUUGUGAAGAAUUAAUAAAAACAACAAACAUG